UUCCGUUAAAGUUUUGUUAAUUGUUAUGACAUAUUAUGUAAUAAUCUGAUAACUGCACUAGAAUAAUGUUUUCACCUGUGUUAUCUUAAAUGCAGAAAUAAUGGCAUUAUAAAGUCAUCUCUGCUGAAGCAUGGAGCAACUUCUCAGAAUGCCAGUUUUGACAAUGGAGGAAUCAGGAAAACUGCUGUCUUCAAGACUGCUUUCCCUGCUGAAGAAUGGACAAUGGAAAAAAGAUGAUGUUGUCAAGUUGUUUAAAGCUCUUGUGGAGCAAUUUAAUGACAGUACUGAUGAUUUUCACACAUGGAUGAUGAAAAUCAUUCAUCAAGUAGAGAUUCAUAAAAUCCAAGUGUUGGAUUUGACUUUCCAAAAUGGUAGUAAGAUUGUGGAUGAUGUUGAGGCCAAAGUUAAUGAAAUAGCCAAAAACACUGAUGAGAAAACACUGGAUGAGAUUGUGGAAGAAAUUCGUAAACAAGGAAAUACUGAUGAAGAUAUUAUGGCACAAGUGAAAGAUAUUGUGUCCUCUGUGUCAAAAUGUCUAUCAGCUUCUACAGCACCAAUUUUAAAAGGAAUAAAGCAAAAGCUAUUCAAGAUCUGCAAAGCAGUUCAAAAAAAGAGCAAGAACAAAAUAACACCUCGCCUGACUCAGAUGGUGAGCUGGUGCAUUCUUGUUCUUUCUAAAUCAAGUCAGCUGGUUCAAGUUGGAACAGGAGAAGGAAAGUCAUGCAUUGUGGCAAUGUUUGCAGCAUAUCAGGCCAUGGUGGGAAACACCCCUGAUAUCAUCUCCAGUUCUCCUGUGCUUGCUGAGAGAGACGUUGAAGAAUGGUUUGACUUUUAUAAGGAAUUAGAUAUAACCGUUAAUGUCAACACCAAUAAAACCAAAGACAAAGAGCUGAAGAAGUGCUAUGAAUGCCAGGUGGUCUAUGGUACAACGCAGAGUUUUGCAGGUGAUUUUCUGAGACAGCGCUUCCACAGAAAAGAUGUUAGACCUAAAAGAGAGUUUCAAUGUGUUAUAGUCGAUGAGGUGGACUCGCUUAUGCUGGACAAAGGUCUUGAAGUGGUUUACUUGAAUAGUAACAUACCUCUCAUGGAACCAUUGAAUCAAUUAUUGGCUGAAAUUUGGUUUGUCAUCAACCAGCUGAAGCGUUUAGACACUGGAGAGAUUUUAGGACCCAUUCAGCUCUUCUCUGAGGUUCUGUCUGAAAUCAUGCAUGAAAACAAAAGCAUUGAUCAUCUCACUAUGGUGCAGACAGCUUUGGAUGCAGGAAUUAUGCCUAUAAAGUCUUCAAAGCAAAACACAACAAAUGUUUUAAAACAACUAGAUAAUGCAAGUGUCGUGCAAAUGGUGGCAUUUUUAACCAUGUUUGUAGGGAAUUUCCCCGAGUAUUUCUUUAGAUUAUACCAGGACAGGCCUAAUGGGACUUUAAAGAGACUGAAUGAAAUCAGUGCUGCAGGUACAAACAAGAGACAAGAAAUAUCAGUUCUUCUUCUGGGAAAUGGAAAAUGUCGUGUUGUGCACUCUGAGGAGAACUCAGUAGUUGCAUCAAUGGGAAAAAGGAUUAAAAUGGUUUAUCAGUCUGAAUCAGUAAAUGUACAAAAUGAAUCUAAUAUUCCAGGGUUUCGAGACCUCAUUAAUGGCAAGGCACAAACUUGGGAUUGAAAAUGCUCUGCAAGCCACCAAAAUGACUCUGGGUAAUGAAUACGUCCUUCAUGGAAAUGGAGUUGCUCCUGUUGAUUACAAAUGCACUGGUGUCGUCCAAAACAACAUGAAAUGGGGGGAAGGCCUUCAGCAGUUCCUGGAGAUGAAACACCAAACUAAACUGUCGUGAUGUAAUGGUGUCCUCUCUUCAUGAGUGUUGGGGUGUGUGGCUCCUGAUGCAUUUCAGUGAGGAAAACCUUUUGAGAUGUUGAAGAAACAGCUGAAGGUGGAUUUGUUGAGUGCAAAGCAGAAACUUUUUAAUAAGCAAUCCCCAUCCACCAUGGUCUACUAUUACAUCAGGUCUGGGAACAAUCUUCGUGAGAAGGGAUGCCUUGCAGAAAGCAUUGAAAUGUACACAAAAGCUCUGGAGGAUGACACAUCUGGGGAGAUUAUUCCUCUCUAUAAUCGUGCACUGGCCACUAUUAUGAAGAAAGACAUUGGUUAUAUCACUCAAGCACUGGCUGAUCUGGAAAAGGCUAACAAGGCAAUAGUUUCAUACAGGUCAAAUCUGGAAUGGAUUCUGACUUGCAUUAAAUUAUCAAGUCAUGAGCCAGAAACAGAAGGCGAUACUUUGCUCACAAAGCAGUUUCAAAUUAAGUUUAUGAUUGUAGAUCUACUCAAGAUGAACAUUCAAGAUGCUGUAACAAAGUUGAAGAGAGCUGAAAGCAUAGGAGGAAAUGUAAGCCUGACUGAAAAACAUCCACUUUUUCUGGUUGCACACAUUAUGUUCAGUUAUCCAAGACUUUUGGAUAAUCUUAUGAGGGAGCUUAUUCAUACCAUGUCAUUGGGUCUUGAUGAAGUUUUCUCUUUAGACACCAUGUUUUCUGCCAGUGGCCUUUUGUCAAAAUUAUUAAAACUUGUGAAAUAUAACACAUUUCUCAAAGAUCCUUAAACAUAUAAGGUCAGUUUUAUAUAAGCAUUAAACACAUAUACUGUAUUGUGCAUAUCUAAUGUAUAUGUCCUAAGUAUUAUUCCUAUCACAGAUACAUGAAUUCUUCCUGAUGAUACAUUUCAUACUUUACAAUUUUGAGAAGGACAUUUUAAGUUAACACUGCA
rnacentral:lncRNA from 1 species